AUUGAACGCUGGCGGCAGGCUUAACACAUGCAAGUCGAGCGGUUGACGGGAGCUUGCUCCCUGAUUCAGCGGCGGACGGGUGAGUAAUGCCUAGGAAUCUGCCUAUUAGUGGGGGACAACGUUUCGAAAGGAACGCUAAUACCGCAUACGUCCUACGGGAGAAAGCAGGGGACCUUCGGGCCUUGCGCUAAUAGAUGAGCCUAGGUCGGAUUAGCUUGUUGGUGAGGUAAUGGCUCACCAAGGCGACGAUCCGUAACUGGUCUGAGAGGAUGAUCAGUCACACUGGAACUGAGACACUGUCCAGACUCCUACGGGAGGCAGCAGUGGUGAAUAUUGGACAAUGGGCGAAAGCCUGAUCCAGCCAUGCCGCGUGUGUGAAGAAGGUCUUCGGAUUGUAAAGCACUUUAAGUUGGGAGGAAGGGUUGUAGAUUAAUACUCUGCAAUUUUGACGUUACCGACAGAAUAAGCACCGGCUAACUCUGUGCCAGCCGCCGCCGUAA
rnacentral:rRNA from 1 species